GCUGAACUCUGCUGUAGCGGCCUUGGAAGCUGAAUUGCAGUUGAAGGAACCACUUCCCAACCGUUUUGCAACUCAGAGGCUGGAGUACUAUAAGGGAUGAGAGAAGAACUCCAGCUACAGCUAUAUAAGAUAAGUGUACCAUCUACCUGCUGUUGCUGUUGCUGUGUUGUUGUCGUCCUUGUCAGGACUGUACCCAUUGCUGGCUGAGGGGACUUGGAAGGUCUUUUGCCUGCAGAAAGAGGAACACUACUGCUGCCUAGAGAGAGAGAGCAGCGGUUGCUGUUAUCUCAGCUCGUACACUCUGGAACUCUGGAACUCCCUGCCUAUAGAGGCACGGUUAACCUCCUCACUCCCUGCAUUUCGUCGCCAGAGCCAAAAAUACGAGGCUUAUAAACUCCAAUUGCCUGAAAGAUAGACUGCACGAAGCUCCAUAAAACUCAUCUUUGCGCAACCAGACGUUGGGUCCAGAGGCAACAACAAACAGCCAUAAAAGCUAAAGGCCCCUCGACUCAGCUUAGGGGGCGACUUCCUAGUGACGUGGAAUCUAAAAAGACAGCACCAGAAACGAUCUGUUUGAAUGCGCACCUUUUCUGGAGCAGUAAGAUGGAUAACACAACUGGUUGAAAGGGAGAGACGCAUCCGCUAGCAUGGCAAAGGACCAUACAAAACUAUCCUUACUUGUGCGUACCUGGGCAAUGAAUUGUACUGCUUGCCUAUAAAAGGGCAUGUUUUGAAGCCUAGCCCUGAAGUUUGUGACAAUAUGUUGCAAUCACACCAGGCUAAAUGUAAUGCAUCAUGUAAUGCAAUUAUCUCUUAUCAGACUGCAAAUCCAGACCAUGUAUGUAACACCCACUCAGGUGGCACACAUUAACAAAAACCGCCAUAUUACAAAAGGUUAAAAAAAAGAGUCAAUCUGGUAUGCAAAUAUGACUGAAGUUAACACCAGUGGGAAAAGAUCUGUGGUAACAAUAUACUUUAAAACUUUGUCUGCCCAGCAGUAUUCUCAGAGCAGUUAUACUUUCAGAAUGACUGUGUGGCAGAGCAGAAGAUUGGGAUAAAUGAAGAAGGUAACAUUUAGCAUCGGUACACUAAAUUUGCAUGCACUGACUUAUUGCAAAGUUUUAAUUUUGAUUUUUUGCAUUUUUUAUAUCUGAAACUGGAAUUAAAAAAAAGGGAGAAAUAUCCAUCUGAUACCCUGCAAAUGUUGCUGGACUACAACUCCCAAUAGCCCCAGCCAGCACAGCUAAAUCAAAUUGAGGAACUAACAUUCAUAGGUUAAACAUCUAAAGAAAGAGACAA